AGGCAUUGAGGCAGCCAGCGCAGGGGCUUCUGCUGAGGGGGCAGGCGGAGCUUGAGGAAACCGCAGAUAAGUUUUUUUCUCUUUGAAAGAUAGAGAUUAAUACAACUACUUAAAAAAUAUAGUCAAUAGGUUACUAAGAUAUUGCUUAGCGUUAAGUUUUUAACGUAAUUUUAAUAGCUUAAGAUUUUAAGAGAAAAUAUGAAGACUUAGAAGAGUAGCAUGAGGAAGGAAAAGAUAAAAGGUUUCUAAAACAUGACGGAGGUUGAGAUGAAGCUUCUUCAUGGAGUAAAAAAUGUAUUUAAAAGAAAAUUGAGAGAAAGGACUACAGAGCCCCGAAUUAAUACCAAUAGAAGGGCAAUGCUUUUAGAUUAAAAUGAAGGUGACUUAAACAGCUUAAAGUUUAGUUUAAAAGUUGUAGGUGAUUAAAAUAAUUUGAAGGCGAUCUUUUAAAAAGAGAUUAAACCGAAGGUGAUUAAAAGACCUUGAAAUCCAUGACGCAGGGAGAAUUGCGUCAUUUAAAGCCUAGUUAACGCAUUUACUAAACGCAGACGAAAAUGGAAAGAUUAAUUGGGAGUGGUAGGAUGAAACAAUUUGGAGAAGAUAGAAGUUUGAAGUGGAAAACUGGAAGACAGAAGUACGGGAAGGCGAAGAAAAGAAUAGAGAAGAUAGGGAAAUUAGAAGAUAAAAACAUACUUUUAGAAGAAAAAAGAUAAAUUUAAACCUGAAAAGUAGGAAGCAGAAGAAAAAAGACAAGCUAGGAAACAAAAAGCUAAGGGCAAAAUGUACAAACUUAGAAGAAAAUUGGAAGAUAGAAACAAGAUAGAAAAUGAAAAUAUUGUCAAGAGUUUCAGAUAGAAAAUGAAAAACAAGCUAAGACAAGUAUUGGAGAAGUAUAGAAGAUAGAAAAAUAUAAAGCCAAAAAUUGGAUAAAAUAGCACUGAAAAAAUGAGGAAAUUAUUGGUAACCAAUUUAUUUUAAAAGCCCAUCAAUUUAAUUUCUGGUGGUGCAGAAGUUAGAAGGUAAAGCUUGAGAAGAUGAGGGUGUUUACGUAGACCAGAACCAAUUUAGAAGAAUACUUGAAGCUAGAAGGGGAAGUUGGUUAAAAAUCACAUCAAAAAGCUACUAAAAGGACUGGUGUAAUUUAAAAAAAACUAAGGCAGAAGGCUUUUGGAAGAGUUAGAAGAAUUUGGAAGGCCUUAAAUAUAGUAGCUUAGUUUGAAAAAUGUGAAGGACUUUCGUAACGGAAGUAAUUCAAGAUCAAGAGUAAUUACCAACUUAAUGUUUUUGCAUUGGACUUUGAGUUAAGAUUAUUUUUUAAAUCCUGAGGACUAGCAUUAAUUGACAGCUGACCCAGGUGCUACACAGAAGUGGAUUCAGUGAAUCUAGGAAGACAGCAGCAGACAGGAUUCCAGGAACCAGUGUUUGAUGAAGCUAGGACUGAGGAGCAAGCGAGCAAGCAGCAGUUCGUGGUGAAGAUAGGAAAAGAGUCCAGGAGCCAGUGCGAUUUGGUGAAGGAAGCUAGGAAGAAGGAAGGAGCGCUAACGAUUUGGUGGUGAAGCUAGGAAAAAGGAUUCCAGGAAGGAGCGAGUGCAAUUUGGUGAUGAAGGUAGCAGGCGGCUUGGCUUGGCAACCACACGGAGGAGGCGAGCAGGCGUUGUGCGUAGAGGAUCCUAGACCAGCAUGCCAGUGUGCCAAGGCCACAGGGAAAGCGAGUGGUUGGUAAAAAUCCGUGAGGUCGGCAAUAUGUUGUUUUUCUGGAACUUACUUAUGGUAACCUUUUAUUUAUUUUCUAAUAUAAUGGGGGAGUUUCGUACUGAGGUGUAAAGGGAUUUAUAUGGGGACGUAGGCCGAUUUCCGGGUGUUGUAGGUUUCUCUUUUUCAGGCUUAUACUCAUGAAUCUUGUCUGAAGCUUUUGAGGGCAGACUGCCAAGUCCUGGAGAAAUAGUAGAUGGCAAGUUUGUGGGUUUUUUUUUUUUACACGAAUUUGAGGAAAACCAAAUGAAUUUGAUAGCCAAAUUGAGACAAUUUCAGCAAAUCUGUAAGCAGUUUGUAUGUUUAGUUGGGGUAAUGAAGUAUUUCAGUUUUGUGAAUAGAUGACCUGUUUUUACUUCCUCACCCUGAAUUCGUUUUGUAAAUGUAGAGUUUGGAUGUGUAACUGAGGCGGGGGGGAGUUUUCAGUAUUUUUUUUUGUGGGGGUGGGGGCAAAAUAUGUUUUCAGUUCUUUUUCCCUUAGGUCUGUCUAGAAUCCUAAAGGCAAAUGACUCAAGGUGUAACAGAAAACAAGAAAAUCCAAUAUCAGGAUAAUCAGACCACCACAGGUUUACAGUUUAUAGAAACUAGAGCAGUUCUCACGUUGAGGUCUGUGGAAGAGAUGUCCAUUGGAGAAAUGGCUGGUAGUUACUCUUUUUUCCCCCCACCCCCUUAAUCAGACUUUAAAAGUGCUUAACCCCUUAAACUUGUUAUUUUUUACUUGAAGCAUUUUGGGAUGGUCUUAACAGGGAAGAGAGAGGGUGGGGGAGAAAAUGUUUUUUUCUAAGAUUUUCCACAGAUGCUAUAGUACUAUUGACAAACUGGGUUAGAGAAGGAGUGUACCGCUGUGCUGUUGGCACGAACACCUUCAGGGACUGGAGCUGCUUUUAUCCUUGGAAGAGUAUUCCCAGUUGAAGCUGAAAAGUACAGCACAGUGCAGCUUUGGUUCAUAUUCAGUCAUCUCAGGAGAACUUCAGAAGAGCUUGAGUAGGCCAAAUGUUGAAGUUAAGUUUUCCAAUAAUGUGACUUCUUAAAAGUUUUAUUAAAGGGGAGGGGCAAAUAUUGGCAAUUAGUUGGCAGUGGCCUGUUACGGUUGGGAUUGGUGGGGUGGGUUUAGGUAAUUGUUUAGUUUAUGAUUGCAGAUAAACUCAUGCCAGAGAACUUAAAGUCUUAGAAUGGAAAAAGUAAAGAAAUAUCAACUUCCAAGUUGGCAAGUAACUCCCAAUGAUUUAGUUUUUUUCCCCCCAGUUUGAAUUGGGAAGCUGGGGGAAGUUAAAUAUGAGCCACUGGGUGUACCAGUGCAUUAAUUUGGGCAAGGAAAGUGUCAUAAUUUGAUACUGUAUCUGUUUUCCUUCAAAGUAUAGAGCUUUUGGGGAAGGAAAGUAUUGAACUGGGGGUUGGUCUGGCCUACUGGGCUGACAUUAACUACAAUUAUGGGAAAUGCAAAAGUUGUUUGGAUAUGGUAGUGUGUGGUUCUCUUUUGGAAUUUUUUUCAGGUGAUUUAAUAAUAAUUUAAAACUACUAUAGAAACUGCAGAGCAAAGGAAGUGGCUUAAUGAUCCUGAAGGGAUUUCUUCUGAUGGUAGCUUUUGUAUUAUCAAGUAAGAUUCUAUUUUCAGUUGUGUGUAAGCAAGUUUUUUUUUAGUGUAGGAGAAAUACUUUUCCAUUGUUUAACUGCAAAACAAGAUGUUAAGGUAUGCUUCAAAAAUUUUGUAAAUUGUUUAUUUUAAACUUAUCUGUUUGUAAAUUGUAACUGAUUAAGAAUUGUGAUAGUUCAGCUUGAAUGUCUCUUAGAGGGUGGGCUUUUGUUGAUGAGGGAGGGGAAACUUUUUUUUUUUCUAUAGACUUUUUUCAGAUAACAUCUUCUGAGUCAUAACCAGCCUGGCAGUAUGAUGGCCUAGAUGCAGAGAAAACAGCUCCUUGGUGAAUUGAUAAGUAAAGGCAGAAAAGAUUAUAUGUCAUACCUCCAUUGGGGAAUAAGCAUAACCCUGAGAUUCUUACUACUGAUGAGAACAUUAUCUGCAUAUGCCAAAAAAUUUUAAGCAAAUGAAAGCUACCAAUUUAAAGUUACGGAAUCUACCAUUUUAAAGUUAAUUGCUUGUCAAGCUAUAACCACAAAAAUAAUGAAUUGAUGAGAAAUACAAUGAAGAGGCAAUGUCCAUCUCAAAAUACUGCUUUUACAAAAGCAGAAUAAAAGCGAAAAGAAAUGAAAAUGUUACACUACAUUAAUCCUGGAAUAAAAGAAGCCGAAAUAAAUGAGAGAUGAGUUGGGAUCAAGUGGAUUGAGGAGGCUGUGCUGUGUGCCAAUGUUUCGUUUGCCUCAGACAGGUAUCUCUUCGUUAUCAGAAGAGUUGCUUCAUUUCAUCUGGGAGCAGAAAACAGCAGGCAGCUGUUAACAGAUAAGUUUAACUUGCAUCUGCAGUAUUGCAUGUUAGGGAUAAGUGCUUAUUUUUAAGAGCUGUGGAGUUCUUAAAUAUCAACCAUGGCACUUUCUCCUGACCCCUUCCCUAGGGGAUUUCAGGAUUGAGAAAUUUUUCCAUCGAGCCUUUUUAAAAUUGUAGGACUUGUUCCUGUGGGCUUCAGUGAUGGGAUAGUACACUUCACUCAGAGGCAUUUGCAUCUUUAAAUAAUUUCUUAAAAGCCUCUAAAGUGAUCAGUGCCUUGAUGCCAACUAAGGAAAUUUGUUUAGCAUUGAAUCUCUGAAGGCUCUAUGAAAGGAAUAGCAUGAUGUGCUGUUAGAAUCAGAUGUUACUGCUAAAAUUUACAUGUUGUGAUGUAAAUUGUGUAGAAAACCAUUAAAUCAUUCAAAAUAAUAAACUAUUUUUAUUAGAGAAUGU
rnacentral:lncRNA from 1 species